CCCAAUUGCUCUCUUUUACUGUUCUUUUACUCUCAUGAACUGUGGAAGUGUAAAUGACGACGUUUCCGUGUUGUAACCUGGAAAGGGCUGUGAUUGUGGCAGAACCGGUUCAGAGUUGAGACGAAUGGGAACGACGGCUCUGUUGUACCUUACGGUGGAUAGUAAGAGCUCCGUCGGUUCUGGGUUUGAAAAACAUGGUUAAUUUUGAGGUUCUUGACAGGAUUUAAUCAAUUCAGAUGAUUAACGAUGCGCUGUUAUGCCUAGACCAUUGUGAUUUAUAUAGCCUUGAGGUUCCAAUUUGGUUGGUUAUAGUUGGAGUGUAUUAGAGUGUAUCCUUGGAUUAUUGAUGCUUUCGGGUCAUCAAUCAGCUGGAAGACAGUAUUUUAUCUUCUAGUUGUGUAGGAUCAUUGAUCCGGAUAUACUAUCCGUCAGUUGAAAUGACUUCAAUCUGCCUAAUAUUUUGUAAAAGGUCAAAAAGAAGAACUAGACCGAAAAGUUUAACAAUAUUUUCAUAAAAUUAAGUUGUAGGAAUAAGAUCAUUAUCCGAAUAGGGGAUGGCAGAAUUUU